CAGGUUUUAACCCCAAAAACACUUGGCCCCCAUGUCCAGCUUAAAAAGGGCUUCGGCUUACAUUUUGGAGUGCCCCCGGCGUAUUACCUAAAUGGUGGGUAACGGCUCCCCAUGGCAAUGAUACGUACCCGCCCUGAGAGGGUAAUCGGCCCCAUUGGGACUGAGCACGGCCCAAAUUCCUACGGGGAGCAGCAGUAGGGAUUUUCCCCAAAUGGACGAAAUCUGAUGGAGCAACGCCGCGUGAGUGAAGAAGGGUUUCGGCUCGUAAAACUCUGUUGUUAAAGAAGAACAUAUCUGAGAGUAACUGUUCAGGUAUUGACGGUAUUUAACCAGAAAGCCACGGCUAACUACGUGCCAGCAGCCGCGGUAAUACGUAGGUGGCAAGCGUUGUCCGGAUUUAUUGGGCGUAAAGCGAGCGCAGGCGGUUUUUUAAGUCUGAUGUGAAAGCCUUCGGCUCAACCGAAGAAGUGCAUCGGAAACUGGGAAACUUGAGUGCAGAAGAGGACAGUGGAACUCCAUGUGUAGCGGUGAAAUGCGUAGAUAUAUGGAAGAACACCAGUGGCGAAGGCGGCUGUCUGGUCUGUAACUGACGCUGAGGCUCGAAAGUAUGGGUAGCAAACAGGAUUAGAUACCCUGGUAGUCCAUACCGUAAACGAUGAAUGCUAAGUGUUGGAGGGUUUCCGCCCUUCAGUGCUGCAGCUAACGCAUUAAGCAUUCCGCCUGGGGAGUACGGCCGCAAGGCUGAAACUCAAAGGAAUUGACGGGGGCCCGCACAAGCGGUGGAGCAUGUGGUUUAAUUCGAAGCUACGCGAAGAACCUUACCAGGUCUUGACAUACUAUGCAAAUCUAAGAGAUUAGACGUUCCCUUCGGGGACAUGGAUACAGGUGGUGCAUGGUUGUCGUCAGCUCGUGUCGUGAGAUGUUGGGUUAAGUCCCGCAACGAGCGCAACCCUUAUUAUCAGUUGCCAGCAUUAAGUUGGGCACUCUGGUGAGACUGCCGGUGACAAACCGGAGGAAGGUGGGGAUGACGUCAAAUCAUCAUGCCCCUUAUGACCUGGGCUACACACGUGCUACAAUGGAUGGUACAACGAGUUGCGAACUCGCGAGAGUAAGCUAAUCUCUUAAAGCCAUUCUCAGUUCGGAUUGUAGGCUGCAACUCGCCUACAUGAAGUCGGAAUCGCUAGUAAUCGCGGAUCAGCAUGCCGCGGUGAAUACGUUCCCGGGCCUUGUACACACCGCCCGUCACACCAUGAGAGUUUGUAACACCCAAAGUCGGUGGGGUAACCUUUUAGGAACCAGCCGCCUAAGGUGA
rnacentral:rRNA from 2 species